rnacentral:rRNA from 1 species
GACGUAGGGGGCAAGCGUUGUCCGGAAUUAUUGGGCGUAAAGCGCUCGUAGGCGGAUCGGUACGUCUGUGAAGAAAGACCCGGGCUCAACUCGGGGAACGGCAUAGAUACUGCUGAUCUUGAGACAGUCAGAGGAUGAUGGAAUUCCAGGUGUAGCGGUGAAAUUCGUAGAUAUUGGGAAGAACACCGGUGGCGAAGGCGGCUCACUGGCUCGUAACUGACGCUCAUGCACGACAGCGUGGGGAUCAAACAGG